GCGCGCCGUCACGUGACCGCCGGCCGGGGGCGGGGCCUAGGGAGCCCGGCCGCUGGGCCGCUGGACAGAGCUAGGACCGCGCGGAGCUGGUUUGGCUCGCUCCGGAUGCCGGAGGGAAGCGCGGCAGCGGACUGGAGGUGAAGACUGGAGGCAGUCCGCUCAUCUCCCCUCCCGAGAGAAGCCACGCGCGUGCCGUGUACAGAAGAUCAGCUGCUGGUUAAAGUCCCGGCCAGCCCUGGGGUUAAUGGACAGCUCUGCCUGCGUCCUUUGACUUUUCAGGGUUCGAGAUGACGUCCUCAUUUGGCUCAGCUGUUGUUAUUCCGCUUUCCUCGGCUGGCAUGUGAUUUCACACAAUCUAGAAACGUCUUAACUUCACGCUAGGAGUUCUUGGUCAACGUUUCAAGUUUUAAUCCUGCUUUAAUGUACGUUUUAUUUUGUGUGUGUUUGCGCGCUCACGUCCACGGCACCUGUGUGGAUGUCAGAGAGCAUCUUGCUGGAGUCAGUUCUUUCUUUCUAUGGAGUGAGUCCAGAGGAUCUAACUCACGCCCUCAGGCUUGACUGCAGGUGCCUUGGCCUGCCGAGCCAUCUUGGCCAGUCCUCCUAGGUUACCACAUCUUUCUGCAAAUUCAUCCUCAGUUCUUGAUGCAACAGAAAGCAAUGCCAGCUGCUUCUGGAAAAUGCAAAUAAUUUCUGAACUUUGAGAAGGAUCUGCCUUUGAUGUGAUUGUUCCUGGAGCUGACUGAGAGUAUUUUGUAGGCUUUUUAAUAAUGGAAUGCACAUCUGACAGAAUAUCAAAAUGCAAGUUUUUGUACACACCAUGUUGACAAUACCUGUAGAAAGGUUUCCUGAAAAACACUUGCAACGUUGAUUACAGAUCAGUUCCACUUAUGUCUGAUUUGAAUCUCAAGCGUGAAUUAUAAAUUAUUGUAUUAUAAUUGUAAAACCGAGGCUGGUGUGAUAGGGUCACUGUAAUGACCUGGAGAGGCAGUGUGAGGGUUAAGAGCACUGUUCUUCUACAGGACCUGGGUUAGAUUCCCAGCAUCUACAUAGAGGCUCACACCUUCUAUAACGCCUCUUCAACAGGCUCCAAUGCCUUCUUACGGCCUUGUCAAGCACCAGGCACGGACGUGGUGUUUAUACAUAUAUGCAGCAAAUCUGAGUUUAGCCACAGAAAGUUCCAGGCAAGCCUGGAUCAUGUAGUCAAACUGUUUCAGAAAAUAAACAAACAAACAAAAAAUGUGCAAACGCUGCAGAGAGAGGCUGUGGAGAGCAGGCUUUUGCAGGACCUUUCCCUGCUGCUACUGUCUCCAGCCUUGAGUGUGGGUAUGUGCAGACCAGAACCUAGUGUAACUGUCCUCUGAGAGGGCCCCCUGAGCAGCUGACUGAAACAGAUGCAGAGACCCACAGACAAACAUUAGACAGAGCUCAGGAAUCUUGUGAAGGAGUUGGGAGAAGGAUCAAGGAAUCUGAAGGGGAUAGGAACUCCACAGAAAAGACCAACAGAAUCAACUAACCUGGACUCUUGGAGGUUAUUAGAGACUGAACUGCCACACAAAGGGCACACAUGGGCUGGACCCAGGCCCCCUGGCACAGAUGUGCAGCUUGGUCUUCAUGCAGGUCCCUUAACUACUGGAACUGGGGCUGUCCGUGACUCUGUUACCCAUCUGUGGAUCCUGCUCUCUUAACUGGGCUGCCAUGUCUGGCCUCAGUGAGAAAGGCUGUUCCUGGUCCUGUAGUGACUUGAUGUGACAAAGUGAGUUGGUAGCUGGGGGUGGGGUUGCCCCCUCUCAGAGGAGAAGCUUUGAGGGAGACAGCUAUGAGGAGGGGAGCUUCAAUCAGGAUGUAAAGUGAAUAAAUACAAUAGUAGCUUUAUUAUACAAAGCUGGCUGUCUCAGCCGGCCUUCACUGUGCAUUGGGAUUCCGAAGAAAUAGAGAGGUGGGAGCAGGCAGGCAAAGACCCAGG